rnacentral:rRNA from 1 species
GACGAACGCUGGCGGCGUGCUUAACACAUGCAAGUCGAGCGGUAAGGCCCUUUCGGGGGUACGACGAGCGGCGAACGGGUGAGUAACACGUGGGUGACCUGCCUUUAGCUCUGGGAUAAGCCUGGGAAACCGGGUCUAAUACCGGAUAUGACUCCGCGGCGCAUGUUGUGGGGUGGAAAGCCUUGUGCGGCUGGAGAUGGGCCCGCGGCCUAUCAGCUUGUUGGUGGGGUGAUGGCCUACCAAGGCGACGACGGGUAGCCGGCCUGAGAGGGCGACCGGCCACACUGGGACUGAGACACGGCCCAGACUCCUACGGGAGGCAGCAGUGGGGAAUCUUGCGCAAUGAGCGAAAGCCUGACGCAGCGACGCCGCGUGAGGGAUGACGGCCUU